AUCAAAGGUUGGAGGUGAAAUGGUGGAAAAAUGGUUGAAGUAAAAUGAAAAAGAAAAUAAAGGGAAAGAGAAGAGAGAAUAGUGAUGGAGUGGAGAAUGUGAGGAUUUUGGCUUGUCAUCCACUUUCUCUUUCUAUACACACACAUAUAUACAUAUCACACACAUUCUUAUCCACACAUAUCUCACCAACUAGUCAACCAUAAUCCCCAUAACAUAACAAAAUGCAAUAAUGUCCCAUAAAUGAAAAUAAUUUCUUACAAACAUAAAAUAAACACCACAAUUUCAUGAAUAAUGGUAAUGUAAUUUAAAAUAAAUUAAAAAAAAAAAAAAACAAAUACUCGGUCCUCACACGUCCACGUAGGUCACUACACAAACCAAGAGAGAAUGAGAGAAGGGUGAAGCCGAGAGAAAGACAAGGAGGCUGAGCAGGGAAGAAUGAAGGAAACUGGCAAGGAAGAAGGACAACGAUAACCCACAGUUGCCGGAGUUAGAGAAGAAAACCAAAGAGCUUGCGAUGUGAUUUUGGAUUCGAAAAUCUAAGAGUAUGGUCUUGGUGGUGGAGUAUCGACAAAAGGUGAUGUGUACAGUUAUGAAAUACUCUUGCUCGAGAUUGAUAUGAGGAAAGAGGCCAACUGAAGAGAUGUUCAUUGGGGAAUUGAAUCUUCAGAAGUGGGUAAGAGCAGCAGUUCCUGAUCGAGUGGAGGAGAUUCUGGAUGAGCAAUUGAUGGAAUAUUGUAAGGUUUGGGGCACGAAUCAAUUGAAAUGUGUCAUACAAAUUGGUUUAUCAUGUGCAAGUGAGGCACCAGAAGAGAGACCGGAAAUGAAAAAUGUCUCUGCAAUGAUGAAAAGGGUUAGGGGCACUCUCUUCACUGAAGCUGCUUAAAUCUGCUAUUUGCAUCGAUAGAUAUCCAAGGCCUUGAGCAAAUCACUUUGUUAACAAAUCUAUAGCUACAUAUGGUAGUGAGCACUGUCGAUUUAGACUGUCUUCUUGUUACUGAACAUCUUUAUGAUUGAUGUUUAGUUUCUCUCUCUUUUUCCUUUCCUUGUUUUUUUUUUUGGGCAAGCUUUACAAGUCGAGUAAGUUUGUGCCAACUAUGUCAAAAGCAGCAUAACCUGACUACUUGAAUAUCAUUUUUCUUUAUUUUAGAUUAA